AUGAUCAAACUCAAGAAACUCUUAAGUACAGAUGAUUUGUUUAAAGUUAUAUGUAUUUUACUGUUGUAUUUACUUGAAGCUUUCUUAGAUUUUGAAACGAAGUAAACACGUAAUGUGUGUUGCUAAUGUUGGGCCACGUAAUAUGUAAUACAUUUACGUUUUAAUGAAUAGUCUAACGAUUUAUAGUCGUUGUACUCUAUUGUUAUAAUAUGUCUUUUUGACUGAAUACAUGUUUGUUUUAUUUGUCUAUAUCCUAGAUUCGCAGCUGAACACAUCCUUCUACACUGUAUGCAAACAUGCAACAUCAUAACACACAGUACAAGGAGUCAGACUGGCAUAUGAGGAGCAAAGGAACCCAGGCAGUAGCAUCGUUUCACAAUGUUUCCAUCACCAUCAUCAGUGGAUGCCUUUGCCGUCCGUAGCCUGAGAUUUCAGAUUUGCAGCAAAAAAAUUGGAUUUUCUCAUUUAUUGGAAUGCUGUGCAGGUUGUACCUUGCAGCCAUCCAUUACAAUGUCACCAAGCCGUAACAAAAGCAGGAGAGGGAAAGUACAAGGCUAUGUUCCCAAAACACACAAGUGACAUACCUUAUGUGGAUGAUGUGAUCAGGCUUGUGUUUGAUGUGGUAUUUGAAGAUAAGCUGAAGGAAACCCCGAUUCCAAUGGACCUGGCAUCACAGUUUGAGAGACCUUCAAAGGAGGACGUGAUUGCAUGCCAUCUU